rnacentral:rRNA from 1 species
UUAGAGUUUGAUCAUGGCUCAGAACGUACGCUGGCGGCACGCCUAACACAUGCAAGUCGAACGAAGUAGCAAUACUUAGUGGCAGACGGGUGAGUAACAUGUGGGUAUCUGCCCUUUGGCCUGGAAUAACACGAGGAAACUUGUGCUAAUACUGGAUAAGUCUUUACGGAGAAAGCUUUAUGCACCAUUGGAUGAGCCCGCACUUGAUUAGUUUGUUGGUGGGGUAAUGGCCUACCAAGACUGUGAUCAAUAGCUGAUUUGAGAGGAUGAUCAGCCACAUUGGGACUGAGACACGGCCCAAACUCCUACGGGAGGCAGCAGUGGGGAAUCUUGCACAAUGGAGGAAACUCUGAUGCAGCGAUGCCGCGUGAGUGAAGAAGGCCUUUGGGUUGUAAAGCUCUUUCGUCGGGGAAGAAAAUGACUGUACCCGAAUAAGAAGGUCCGGCUAACUUCGUGCCAGCAGCCGCGGUAAUACGAAGGGACCUAGCGUAGUUCGGAAUUACUGGGCUUAAAGAGUUCGUAGGUGGUUGAAAAAGUUGGUGGUGAAAUCCCAGAGCUUAACUCUGGAACUGCCAUCAAAACUUUUCAGCUAGAGUUUGAUAGAGGAAAGCAGAAUUUCUAGUGUAGAGGUGAAAUUCGUAGAUAUUAGAAAGAAUACCAAUUGCGAAGGCAGCUUUCUGGAUCAUUACUGACACUGAGGAACGAAAGCAUGGGUAGCGAAGAGGAUUAGAUACCCUCGUAGUCCAUGCCGUAAACGAUGUGUGUUAGACGUUGGAAAUUUAUUUUCAGUGUCGCAGCGAAAGCGAUAAACACACCGCCUGGGGAGUACGACCGCAAGGUUAAAACUCAAAUGAAUUGACGGGGACCCGCACAAGUAGUGGAGCAUGUGGUUUAAUUCGAAGAUACGCGCAGAACCUUACCAACACUUGACAUGUUCGUCGCGACUUUAAGAGAUUAAAGUUUUCGGUUCGGCCGGACGAAACACAGGUGCUGCAUGGCUGUCGUCAGCUCGUGUCGUGAGAUGUUGGGUUAAGUCCCGCAACGAGCGCAACCCUCACUUUUAGUUGCCAUCAUUAAGUUGGGCACUCUGAAAGAACUGCCAGUGAUAAGCUGGAGGAAGGUGGGGAUGACGUCAAGUCCUCAUGGCCCUUACGUGUUGGGCUACACACGUGCUACAAUGGUAUCUACAACAGGAAGCGAAACAGCGAUGUUAAGCAAAUCCUUAAAAGAUACCUCAGUUCGGAUUGCACUCUGCAACUCGAGUGCAUGAAGCUGGAAUUACUAGUAAUCGUGGAUCAGCGUGCCACGGUGAAUGCGUUCCCUGGGUCUUGUACACACCGCCCGU